rnacentral:misc_RNA from 1 species
CUUAGAUGUUAAAGUAGCAAGGGAAUUGAAGGUAACUGCAGUAGAUGUGACUGUUUUAGCAGUAAUGGAAGCUGAUAGCACAAGAAUUUCCAGUACCUGUAUCAGUCCUAUUUUAACUGGAAGAUUCAUCAUUAUUCUUUCAGUUUUGACUAUAAGUUGCUGUAUAUGGGAAGUUUUGAUAUGAUACUUGAAGUAGAUUUGAUGAGGACUUAUAAUCCAAUUUUAUUUGAUUUUGAGAAUUCUUCAGUUAGUUUCCACAGGGCUGGUGCAAUGAUUACAUUGCAGAGAAUCACAGAUGCUACUCCACAGCCUACACUGUUGAAUUAUACGAGCUGUGAUAAGUUAGCUCAUAAGAAUGGAGGGGAUUUUCAAACUCCAUUAUUCUGUUUGCAAAUUUCUCCACUGCAGGGGUGUGUUGUUGAGGGUGCUGCCAUGGCAACUACUUCAACCUCUAACUCUUAUCCUAAAGAUUUGCAGCUACCGUUGGAUAAAUUCCACCGUAUUUUUGAGGAUCCUAAAGUGUUGCCA